rnacentral:tRNA from 1 species
GGGCGGUUAGCUCAGUUGGUUAGAGCGUCUGUUUUACACACAGAAGGUCGCGGGUUCAAAUCCCCCACCGCCCA